UUGCAAUAUCUAUAACUGAAGUAUUGGAGAUGAGCGUAUUUUAAGGCAAGUUUUUACUGCUUCCGAAUUUACUAGCUGUCGAGAUGGUAGAAAAUGGUCUGUAUCUUGUGAUUCUCUGGCUCGAUUUUUAUUUUCAUUUCUUCAGAUAGCGGAGGAAGAGUUGCUUAAUAAAAUGGACUACAUUUUGGUACCACCAAAUAUCGGGAAGCGCCCUUAAAUUUAUUUCCAAUUUCAGCAAUUUUGGUCAUUUUUGAAUAGUUCUGGUGGAAAAUUGUCUUAUCUUGCAUUUCUCUGGCUCGAUUUUUAUUUUAUUUUUUUCAGAUAACAGAGGAAGAGUUGCUUAAUUAAGUGGACUACAUUUUAAUACCACCAAAUGUCGGGAAGUGCCCAUAAAUUGAUCUCCAAUUCCAGCAAUUUUGAUCAUUUUUGAAAAAUUGUGGUGGAAAUUGGUCUGUAUCUCGCGUUUUCUUUACACGAUUUUAAUUCUGUUUGCUUCAGGUGAUAGAGAAAGAGUUCUUUAAUGGUAUGAACUGCAUUCAGUUACACCCAAGGGUCGGGAAGUGCCCUAAAAUGACCCUUAAACUUCAGCAAUAUUUGUCAUUUUGAAAAGUGGCGAUGGAAAAUUGUCUGAAUCUCGCGUAUUCUUGACUCGAUUUUAAUUCUGUUUGCUUCAGAUGAGUGAGAACGAGUUCUUUAAUCGUAUGAACUGCCUUUAGUCACUCUCCAGGCGCGGGAAGUUCGGGAGUUAUUUAAGACUCCCGAACUUCAGAAAAUUUUGUCAUAUUUGAGAAGUUCUGGUGGAAAAUGAUGCGAGAGGAAGAGUUCUUUAAUCGUAUGAACAGCAUUCUGUCACCCUCAAAGGUCGGGAAGUGCCCUUAAAUCACUUUCGAACUUCAGCAACUAUUGUCAUUUUUGAAAAGUUGUGGUGGAAAAUGAUGAGAGAAGAGGAGCUCUUUAAUCGUAUGAAUUGCAUUCACUCACCUUCAAGGGUCGGGAAGUGCUCUUAAAUCACUCAAACUUCAGCAAUUUUUGUCAUUUUUGAAAAGUAGCGAUGGAAAAUAGUCUGUAUCUCGCGUAUCCGUGGCUCGAUUUUAAUUCUGUUUUUUCAGGUGAGAGAGAAAGAGUUCUUUAAUCGAAUGAAGGAAAUUCAGUCACCCUCAAUUGUCGGGAAAUGCCCUUAAAUCAGUCUCAAACUUCAGCAAUUUUGGUCGUUUUUGAAUAUUUGUAGUGGAAACCGCCCUGUAUCUCACGUUUUCCUGACUCGAUUUUAAUUAUGUUUGCUUCAGAUGAGAGAAGAAGGUUUCUUUAAUCCUAUGAACUACAUUCAGUCACCCUCAAUUGACGGGAAGUCAGCAAUUUUGAUCAUUUUUGAAAAGUUGUGGUUGAAAAAGGUCUAUAUCUAUAUCCCGUUUCCUUGACUCGAUUUUAAUACAUUUGAGUAUCGGGAA